GGAGGGUGCAAGCGUUGUUCGGAAUUACUGGGCGUAAAGCGCGUGUAGGCGGCUUGGUAAGUCGAGUGUGAAAUCCCAGGGCUCAACCCUGGAACUGCACCCGAAACUGCCUCGCUGGAGUCCCGGAGAGGGUGGCGGAAUUUCCGGUGUAGAGGUGUAAUUCGUAGAUAUCGGAAGGAACACCAGUGGCGAAGGCGGCCACCUGGACGGUGACUGACGCUGAGACGCGAAAGCGUGGGGAGCAAACAGGAUUAGAUACCCUGGUAGUCCACGCCGUAAACGUUGAGUGCUAGGCGUCGGGGGUAUUGACCCCCCUCCGGUGCCGGAGUUAACGCAUUAAGCACUCCGCCUGUGGAGUACGGCCGCAAGGCUA
rnacentral:rRNA from 1 species